CUAGUAUAUGUGUAUAUUACUAGAUUAGAAAGUAAUUGAUGUUUCAAGUUUUACAGAGAGAAAUUGCUGCCAGCACAUGGGUUUUUAAGUUGCCAGCACACACACGCAAUACACCUAUACCUACGUAAAUGAAGAGUUUUAAAGAUAUACACGAAAAAAAUAUAUAUAUAAAUAAAUAAAAAUAAAUAAAUAAAAAUAGAAGGGGUUCCGGCCAUAGAAGAAGAAAAUAGAGGAAGAAAAGAAAAAAGAAGGGUUGCCGCAAAAGCUGUAAGCAAGGACUGAGGAGUAUAGGCAAGGAGACGGAACGGACCACAUCGACGGUACCGAAGGAAAAAUAAAUAAUUGGAAAAGUAACCAAGGUAUCAGAUUGGGUUGCUACUGCCAGGUCUAGAGUCUUGAGUGUGACUGGAGAAAAUAACAAUGGAACGUCUUUUGUAUAAAAUGUAAAUAUUAUAGUAGAAUUUAAUAUUAUGACUUGUAAUUAACGUUUUAGUUUUGGCGAGAUUGUAUAAUGGGCAUGUAGUUUGUUUUAAAUUGUAAACUUUUAAACAGAUACUCUGAUAUAUGCUGACGUCAUGUAUGUGUGAGAUUAAUACAGAUGAUUAGAUACAUUCUAAUGGUUCACUUUAAUCAAUAGAGUAAAU